rnacentral:rRNA from 1 species
UACGGGGGGGGCAAGCGUUGUCCGGAAUCAUUGGGCGUAAAGAGCGUGUAGGCGGCCAGAUAAGUCCGCUGUGAAAUCUCGAGGCUCAACUUCGAGCUGUCGGUGGAAACUGUCUGGCUAGAGUCCGGAAGAGGAGAAUGGAAUUCCUGGUGUAGCGGUGAAAUGCGCAGAUAUCAGGAAGAACACCCGUGGCGAAGGCGGUUCUCUGGGACGGUACUGACGCUGAGGCACGAAGGCCAGGGGAGCAAACGGG